CCUACGGGGGUCUGCAGUGAGGAAUAUUGGUCAAUGGCCGUAAGGCUGAACCAGCCAAGUAGCGUGAGUGAAGACUGCCCUAUGGGUUUUAAACCUCUUUUAUGCGGGGAUAAAGGUGUCCACGUGUGGAUGUUUGCAGGUACCGCAUGAAUAAGGACCGGCUAAUUCCGUGCCAGCCGCCGCGGUAAUACGGCAGGUCCGGGCGUUAUCCGGAUUUAUUGGGUUUAAAGGGAGCGUAGGCCGGUCUUUAAGCGUGCCGUGAAAUUUUGUGGCUCAACCAUGAGAGUGCGGCGCGAACUGGAGACCUUGAGUGCGCGGAAGGCAGGCGGAAUUCGUGGUGUAGCGGUGAAAUGCUUAGAUAUAUGGAAGAACACCAGUGGCGAAAGCGGCUCUCUGGUCUGUAACUGACGCUGAGGUUCGAAAGCGUGGGUAGCAAACAGGAUUAGAUACCCUUGUAGUC
rnacentral:rRNA from 1 species